rnacentral:rRNA from 1 species
GAUCAGGCUGUUGGUGAGGUAAUGGCCCACCAAACCUGUAACCCGUACGGGCUCUGAGAGGAGGAGCCCGGAGAUGGGCACUGAGACAAGGGCCCAGGCCCUAUGGGGCGCAGCAGGCGCGAAACCUCUGCAAUAGGCGAAAGCUUGACAGGGUUACUCUGAGUGAUUUCCGUUAAGGAGAUCUUUUGGCACCUCUAAAAAUGGUGCAGAAUAAGGGGUGGGCAAGUCUGGUGUCAGCCGCCGCGGUAAUACCAGCACCCCGAGUGGUCGGGACGUUUAUUGGGCCUAAAGCAUCCGUAGCCGGUUCUACAAGUCUUCCGUUAAAUCCACCUGCUUAACAGAUGGGCUGCGGAAGAUACUAUAGAGCUAGGAGGCGGGAGAGGCAAGCGGUACUCGAUGGGUAGGGGUAAAAUCCGUUGAUCCAUUGAAGACCACCAGUGGCGAAGGCGGCUUGCCAGAACGCGCUCGACGGUGAGGGAUGAAAGCUGGGGGAGCAAACCGGAUUAGAUACCCGGGUAGUCCCAGCUGCAAACGAUGCAGACUCGGUGAU